rnacentral:rRNA from 1 species
CAUGCAAGUCGAACGGUAACAGCGGAGAUGAUCCUUUCGGGGUGAAUUUCCGGCUGACGAGUGGCGGACGGGUGAGUAAUGCAUAGGAAUCUGCCCUUUAGUGGGGGAUAACCCGGGGAAACCCGGGCUAAUACCGCAUAAGUCCUACGGGAGAAAGCGGGGGAUCUUCGGACCUCGCGCUGAAGGAUGAGCCUAUGUCUGAUUAGCUUGUUGGUGGGGUAAAAGCCUACCAAGGCGACGAUCAGUAGCUGGUCUGAGAGGACGGACAGCCACACUGGGACUGAGACACGGCCCAGACUCCUACGGGAGGCAGCAGUGGGGAAUAUUGGACAAUGGGCGCAAGCCUGAUCCAGCAAUGCCGCGUGUGUGAAGAAGGCCUGCGGGUCGUAAAGCACUUUCAGCGAGGAAGAAAAUCCAUGGGUUAAUACCCCGUGGCCUUGACGUUACUCGCACAAGAAUGCACCGGCUAACUUCGUGCCAGCAGCCGCGGUAAUACGGGGGGUGCAAGCGUUAACCGGAAUUACUGGGCGUAAAGCGCACGUAGGCGGCUCGCUAAGUUGGAUGUGAAAGCCCUGGGCUUAACCUGGGAAUGGCAUUCAA